rnacentral:lncRNA from 1 species
CGAAGGGUUGCUGUGACGCUACCAUCCAAGCCUCACUAUCCAAGAAAUUAAUUUAUCGGUAAUGAUUUUGUUCCCUUAUUUCAAUUACUUUUCUAAUUUUUCUAUUAAAUACAUGCCUUUUUCAUGGCUUUUAAUUUUUCUAUUAAAUCACUUAUUUUAUUUAUUCAUAUAUUAUUAUAUUUUUAUAUUUUUGUACUAACAUAGCACUUAAUAAUUAUUUUUUAUCUUUUCAUUGUUAGAUCGUGAGCUGCUUAAAUGAUUUGUAGAAUAAAUUAUGAAUGCUGAAGGAGUGGAGGAUCUUGACGAUUGACGAUAUCGUGGCAUGACGUUUUGGAUUGGAAGCUUGGAAGCUUGGAGCCUGGGAAUCUACAUGGAUUUGUAAUGUUUUUUAUUUGUGGAGUUUAAUGGCUGUGUACUUGAAUUUAGUUGUGUUUUUUAUUUGUGGAUUUUUGCACUUGACUUUAAUUAUUUUUUAUGUUUGAUUUAUGUUGUGAUAUUUUUAUUUUGUCGAUUUAUAAUGAUGUACGUUAUUUAUGUUAAAUUGUUACUCGUGGAUUUUUAUUUGGGGAUUUUAAUGGUUGUGCAUUUGAAUUUAGUUAUUUUUUUUAUUUAUGAAUUUUAAUAGUUAUGCACUUAGAAUUUAGUUAUUUUUUAUGUUUGAUUUAUGUUGUGAUAUUUUUAUUUGUAGAUUUAUGUUGAUGUUAUAUGUUAUUUAUGUUA